UGCUCAAUGAUAUUAUUAAAUAAGCUAUAUUUUGUACUAAGGUAGCAUAGUAAAUUGUCUAUUAAUUGUAGAAUAGAAUGAAAGAAAAAAUAGUUUGGGUCNGUCUUGAUUUUUUAUAAAUUAAAAUUAGAUUUUUUGUAAAAUACAAAAAUAAUAUUUAGGGACAAGAAGACCCUAUAAAGCUUAAUAUUUGUUAUUGAAUUAUAUGAUAUAAAAAAUAUUUAAUUGGGGCAAUUUUUUACUUGUAAAUAAUGUAAAAAUAACAAAUAUAACAAAGUAUUAAUUUUUGAUCCAUUUAUAAUGAUUAAUUGAAAUAGUUACUUUAGGGAUAACAGGAUAAUUUUUGUUAAAAAGAUCAUAUUUAAAACAAAGUUUAUUACCUCGAUGUUGAAUUAAUUAAAUAAUAUAGUGAAGGUGCUAUAUAUAUUUGACUGUUCGUCAAUUAAAUAAUUACA
rnacentral:rRNA from 1 species